GUGGGGAAUUUUGGACAAUGGGCGCAAGCCUGAUCCAGCAAUGCCGCGUGCAGGAUGAAGGCCUUCGGGUUGUAAACUGCUUUUGUACGGAACGAAAAGCCCUGGGUUAAUACCCUGGGGUCAUGACGGUACCGUAAGAAUAAGCACCGGCUAACUACGUGCCAGCAGCCGCGGUAAUACGUAGGGUGCGAGCGUUAAUCGGAAUUACUGGGCGUAAAGCGUGCGCAGGCGGUUUUGUAAGACAGAGGUGAAAUCCCCGGGCUCAACCUGGGAACUGCCUUUGUGACUGCAAGGCUAGAGUACGGCAGAGGGGGAUGGAAUUCCGCGUGUAGCAGUGAAAUGCGUAGAUAUGCGGAGGAACACCGAUGGCGAAGGCAAUCCCCUGGGCCUGUACUGACGCUCAUGCACGAAAGCGUGGGGAGCAAACAGG
rnacentral:rRNA from 1 species